GAUCCAGGUGCAGGCCUAGAAGGGAGGAUGGGGGUGGGGCUGGAAGGCUUUCUCCUUCAGCAACCUUUCCCCCACCCUACCUGAGCUCCUGGAGUUCUGCCUCUCCCCAGGUUGGGGGCUGGGGCUGGGUUCAGAAUUUUUCUGUAGGACAGCAGUCAGCAUUGGUUUCCCUUUGGCACUUCUAACAACUUGUAAUUAACCCACCCCCCAGCACCAAUAAUAAACCAACUAAGCAGCAGCCUUCACCUUCUCAGAGUCUCAAGCUCCUCUUCCAACCAAACCAGCCAAUCUUCACACGCAGAGGGUCCCAGAUAAGAGUGGGCAGGAGUACUUUGGAAAUUUGAGAAUCGCCUCUAAGAGGUGGUCAGCCUCCAGGGAAUUCCGGUUCUCUCACCCAUCUAGUGGCAGCAAGUGGGCACUGACCUCUGGGCAAGAGGUUUCCAGGGACUCCCAAGCACUGGCUCUUGGUGAGCCUAGGGUGAGGGUAGGGGGCUUGAACAUGGCAGGAAGAAAGGUGGCCACGGGCCCAGGCAGAGGGAAUCAGUCCUUUGGGGCAUCUGCUGUGGCCCAGCUCUCCAACCUCAAGCGGGGGCUCAACCCCCAGACCUCCAGAAAUGACGUCAGAAUCAUUUGCAUCCCGCUGCCUCUACCUGCCUGGUCCAGCUGGGACCCUGCCUCGCCGGCCCCCUGGCCAGAGGGUUGGUCCUCAUUCAACUUCCUCUUCCUGCGAAAGAGGGGCGCUGCCCCGUGACCUACACAGAUUGAGACAGGAUCGCCAUGAAUGGGGAUCUCUGGAAAAGCUCGGGAGCCGAGGCCCGAGGGGUACACCGGAGGUUCAACGGGAGACUCUGGGAGGGGGCUGAAUCACAGCCUCCCAACAGCCUCCCAAUGCCCAGGCUUUGGAAAGGAGCUGGGGGCUUCCCAUCUCCUUUGGCAGGGGAGCGUUGUCAGUCGGAGGGG
ensembl:lncRNA